UAAAGAGCCGCGGUAUUUUGACCGUGCAAAGGUAGCAUAAUCAUUAGUCUCUUAAUUAGAGGCUGGAAUGAAUGGCUUGACGAGAAAUUAACUGUCUCUUAAUAAAUUUUAAAAUUUAACUUUUGAGUUAAAAGGCUUAAAUUUUUCUUUAGGACGAGAAGACCCUAUAGAGCUUAACAUUUAAAUUAAAUAUUUUUUUAAGAUGGUCUUUUUAUAUUUAAUGGUAAUGUUUUGUUGGGGUGACAUGAAGAAUUAAUAAACUCUUUAUUAUAAAAUCAUUGAUUUAUGUUUAUUUUGAUCCAUAAUUUAUGAUCAUAAGAUCAAGUUACCUUAGGGAUAACAGCGUAAUUGUUUUUUAGAGCUCAUAUUGACAAAGCAGAUUGCGACCUCGAUGUUGGAUUAAGAAAAAUUUUGGGGCAGUA
rnacentral:rRNA from 1 species